GCACCAGUGGCGCAGUGGAUAACAGGGAUGACUAGUACGCACAGGUCCGGGGUUCGACCCCCGCCGAGGCC